rnacentral:rRNA from 1 species
CCUACGGGUGGCAGCAGUGAGGAAUAUUGGUCAAUGGACGAGAGUCUGAACCAGCCAAGUAGCGUGAAGGAUGACUGCCCUAUGGGUUGUAAACUUCUUUUAUAAAGGAAUAAAACGAGGCACGUGUGCCUUUUUGCAUGUACUUUAUGAAUAAGGAUCGGCUAACUACGUGCCAGCAGCCGCGGUAAUACGGAGGAUCCGAGCGUUAUCCGGAUUUAUUGGGUUUAAAGGGAGAGUAGAUGGGUUGUUAAGUCAGUUGUGAAAGUUUGCGGCUCAACCGUAAAAUUGCAAUUGAUACUGGCAGUCUUGAGUACAGUUGAGGUAAGCGGAAUUCGUGGUGUAGCGGUGAAAUGCUUAGAUAUCACGAAGAACCCCGAUUGCGAAGGCAGCUUACUAAACUGUGACUGACAUUGAUGCUCGAAAGUGUGGGUAGCAAACAGGAUUAGAUACCCUAGUAGUC